AAUUUGGUACAAAGCUGAUGUGGCAUUUGGAGAGAGUCUUUAGAAAUAGCUGAUGUGGAUGGCUUCAGAAUCCUCAAACAACUCCUUUUAUUAGUAGUAGAUUAAAUUCUUGUGUUAUUAGAAUAAGUAUUUGUAAUCAUUCUUGAUAUAUCCAUAUUUUCACUGAUUUUAUCUAUGUUUUAGGUAUAUGAUUUUGAGUCUUUAUGUUAUUUCUCGAGUCUUUUUAGUGUCUUUUCAGGUAUUCUAUGCAAUGAGACAACAAUGGAGAUGAGGAGACAUUUUGGAGCAAAAGCUAAGGAAAAGAAAGCUAAAGACAAUUUUGGAUUCAGGAAUCGGAGAGAGUGUCAAUCGACACACUCCUGGUGUCGAUCGACACCAUUUUCGGCGCAGCAAAGUCCAUGACGCUUUCAAAUUUAUAGAAGAGGAAAUUUGCUCUAGAAGACUUCCUUAUUUGCAUUAUUAGUCCCUCGACUUUUCAU
rnacentral:sRNA from 1 species